rnacentral:rRNA from 1 species
UACGUAGGGGGCAAGCGUUGUCCGGAAUCAUUGGGCGUAAAGAGCGUGUAGGCGGCCAGAUAAGUCCGCUGUGAAAUCUCGAGGCUCAACUUCGAGCUGUCGGUGGAAACUGUCUGGCUAGAGUCCGGAAGAGGAGAAUGGAAUUCCUGGUGUAGCGGUGAAAUGCGCAGAUAUCAGGAAGAACACCAAUAGCGAAGGCAGCUCGCUGGGACGGUACUGACGCUAAGGCGCGAAAGCGUGGGGAGCGAACAGG